rnacentral:rRNA from 1 species
GCCUAGAGGCCCUGCGGGGCCGCGCUUGCAAUAACCGGAAGGCCAGGAUCGUGUCCCCACCCCUUCCCCCCUUUCCGGGGUGGGGCAUCCCCCCCUCACGAACACUUUCCUGGAGCGCGGCUGUCUGAAUCCUUUGUCUAUGCGUACUCUCUCGUUUGCUCCCUCGGCGGGUCACCCGUCGUUGGGUUAGCUUCCCACACCCUUUUGCAGUGGCAGUAUACUUCUGAUGUUGGCAUGAAUCGUUACAACUUUCAACAACGGAUCUCUUGGUUCUGGCAUCGAUGAAGAACGCAGCGAAAUGCGAUAAGUAGUGUGAAUUGCAGAAUUCAGUGAAUCAUCGAAUCUUUGAACGCACAUUGCGCCCCUUGGUAUUCCAUGGGGCAUGCCUGUUCGAGCGUCAUUGACACCCUCAAGCUCUGCUUGGUGUUGGGCCGUUGUCGUUCCCUUGCCCCCCCGGCGACACAGCGACACCCCUCAAAGUCAUUGGCGGCCUUUCUGCCCGGCUCCCCGCGCAGCAGUUAGCGCUUCGGAGACCCCUGGGCAGGGUGGCAUCCAUCAAGCUGACCCCUUCACGCUUGACCUCGGAUCAGGUAGGGACACCCGCUGAACUUAAGCAUAU